rfam:Glycine soja cultivar W05 scaffold436_11, whole genome shotgun sequence.
GCCGUCUUAGUUCAGCUGGUAGAGCACAUGUUUUUGACCAUGUGCUCGUGGGUUCGAUUCCCACAAACGGUA